rnacentral:rRNA from 1 species
UGCUCCUACGGGAGGCAGCAGUGAGGAAUAUUGGUCAAUGGGCGCAAGCCUGAACCAGCCAAGUCGCGUGAGGGAAGACGGCCCUACGGGUUGUAAACCUCUUUUGCCGGGGAGCAAGCCUGAGCACGUGUGCCCAGGCGGAGAGUACCCGGAGAAAAAGCAUCGGCUAACUCCGUGCCAGCAGCCGCGGUAAUACGGAGGAUGCGAGCGUUAUCCGGAUUUAUUGGGUUUAAAGGGUGCGUAGGCGGAGUGUCAAGUCAGCGGUAAAAUUUCGGGGCUCAACCCCGUCGUGCCGUUGAAACUGA